AAGGUCACGCCGGCCGGGGGCGGACUCGGGACCCGGACUCGCCGCGGCUUCGCGCCGGGGGCCCUGGACGGGUGCCCGGGGUCUGGGGGGGGUCCUGGCGCCCCCGCCGCCGCUUCCCGGCUUCCCGUCCUGGGGGACCCUGAAGGAGAGCUUGAGGGGUCCGGGGGGCCCCGCCGCCGCCUCCAGACUUCCUGGUCGGGGGAACCCUGAACGGCCACCUGGGGGGGUGUCCUGGGGCGCCCGUGCCGCCGCUUCCCGACUGCGCGUCCUGAGGGACCCCGAAUGGGAGCCAGAGGGGUUCAGGGGCCCCCGCCGCCGCUUCCUGGCUGUGGCGGCCCCGAACGGGAACUUGGGGGGUCUGGAGCGCCCCCGUUGCCGCCUGUAGGGCUUCCUGGCCUGGGGGACCCCGAAUGAGAACCUGAGGGAGUCUGCGGGGAGUCCAGGGCGCCCUCGCCGCCGCCUCCCGGCUUCCUGGCCAGGGGGACCCCGAACUGUGGCGUGGGGGGUGGUCCGGGGCGCCCCCAGCGCGCGCCCAAACUUGGCGGGCGGCGCACGUGGCGAGCCGAGGCGAGGGUUCCGGUUCUGCCACCGCCCAACUUAUCCCACUCGGGGCUCCGGGCUCCCCGCUCCCAUCCCACCCCCCCAAAGUGGUAAGGUCGGGAGGGGUUCGCAAACCCAGGGCCCGGGGGGCUCGGGUCAGCCGGGGCCUGCUGUGUUUACGUUGCCUCGGCGCCUCCCCGCCGGGGGUGGGCUUGAGCUGCGGAAGGAAGAGUCAGCGCUUCCGAGGCGGCGACGGGCCCGCGGAUCUUUGCUGAGCCGAGGCGUCCCCUCCUAUAGGAGCCUGACCUGCUCCGGACCCCGCGGGGCCGGGAAACCUCAUUUCGCUGUGCCCCGGGGCUCGGCGCCAUUCUUUGGUAGGAGCGGCUCCUGCCGCAGCGACGUCGUUUUAGAGUUGCAUUCUUCCGGCAAAACAGUCUGGGUUGGGUUUCCUAGUGGUCUGGUGUAAAUUUCUCGGUGCCCUUAGCUUUGAGCAGCGCCCUGUGUUCUCAGCGCUGGGCUUGGCUAGUGCGGGAGCGGUUGCUGCUAAGAGGGUUGCCUUGGCAGGCGCCUCUCGCACCAGCUACAGGUCACACUUGUGGAUGGGAAAUGCCUUUUGUGGGUUCUCCCCUUCCCCAGACAAAACAAAAGAGCACCUUCCGUUGGAGAACCAGGAUGAAAGCACUUAGCCCCUGCCUAGCCCGUGCUGUGAGUCCUCUCCAGGCACUUUGACUUGGCAGGGUCCGUGUGCCUGUGUGGGGGACAUUGCAGGGAUGGGCCUGAGCAGGGAGUCCACCGGCCAUGGGGGAUGGAGCCAUCGACUUUGGGGUGAGGCACGGAAAGGGCUCCCAGAUGGGGUACCUGGAUUAGGUCCAUUCAAGCCGCGGGUGAACGUGGGCCCGCUCCACCCAAGCCGUGGCUGUGAGGAGGCUGGAGAGAGGUGAGGGCUCCUGUCCCCUCCCUGCAUGGACACCUUUGGGAAGUGGGGCAGCUGGGGUCCCAGCCUGGGUCUGGAGGGGUCCCACCCACAGCACAAAUAGGCUCGCAGGCCACCCGGACGCCCCGGGCUGCGUGGAGGAGAACUGGAGUGCAUGGACCCUGCUCUCCUCCCCGGCUGCCAGGAGCGUCCACUGCUUUCUAAGUCAGACUCCUUGGGCAAGAAGUGUUGCCACAGCCGCCCCUCGCAUGGGAGACCGGCUUCCAUUCUAUGCGGAGUCCACGGUCUACUCUGAUCUUGCUGUGUGGAGUUGUUGUGUGGGUGAAAUGCUUGUGACCCUGCGAAGCGCCCUCCUGGCAAGUCCCCUGCAGGUGCGGUGGGUGCCAUGCGGGAGGGUGCUGAGCUUGGAUGGAAGCAGGCCCUCUCUGCGGCAGAUGGCAGCUCUCAGGACGCCAUGGGUCUGUGGUGUCCCUUACCCACUGGGGGGGCUCGGCAGCCUGAGGAGCUCCCUCUUCCUGAGGCAGAGCCCUCACUGCUCACUGCCAUGGAGGAGGCAGGAGAUCCCGCCGGACCCCGCUUGGAGGGCUGGGCCUGGAGCAUGCAUGGGUGCGGGGUCAACGCCUCAGGAGACUUGGAGCUUGGGAGCCCCCUGUUCUGGGACACUUGUGGCCGUCCAGCUGCUGCCCUGGGAAUCCACACCUGGAAGGAAGCUCUUCGUGGGCGGUCUUGACUGGAGCACGACCCAAGAGACUCUGCGCAGCUACUUUUCCCAAUAUGGAGAAGUCGUAGAUUGUGUUAUCAUGAAAGAUAAAACCACCAACCAGUCUCGAGGCUUUGGGUUUGUCAAAUUUAAAGACCCAAACUGUGUGGGGACGGUGCUGGCCAGCAGACCGCACACGCUAGAUGGCCGAAACAUCGACCCCAAGCCAUGCACACCCCGGGGGAUGCAGCCGGAGAGAACACGGCCGAAGGAAGGAUGGCAGAAAGGACCCAGGAGCGAUAACAGUAAAUCAAAUAAGAUAUUUGUCGGUGGAAUUCCUCACAAUUGUGGUGAGACAGAGCUCAGGGAAUACUUCAAGAAGUUCGGAGUGGUCACGGAGGUAGUCAUGAUCUAUGAUGCUGAGAAGCAGAGGCCCCGAGGUUUUGGAUUUAUUACUUUCGAGGACGAACAAUCAGUGGACCAGGCUGUCAACAUGCAUUUUCACGACAUCAUGGGCAAAAAAGUGUGUAGUUGUAGUUUUAUUUUACCUUAAGACCAAACCAAGUCUUAGGCAACUUAGGGGUUUCACUGGAAAGGAACAUUCCUUCACGGAAAGGGUCGGGCGAGUUCGUCCUGUGAACCUUCGCUGCGUGAGGUGGGCCUGGGUCUGUAGACGUGAGGAGGGUCCCAUCCUUCCCCAGCACCCUUCCUGCGGGGUGGGCAUCUCUCAGCUUUGCUCCUGGAGCCCCUCCCUCUGGGUGACCUGGGACUGGGCGGGUAGGGGGCUGGGGCUGGGAGGCUGUGGCGGUGUUGGGGCUGGCUCCAGUGAAACCGCAGCGUUGCCUCAGGCUUGGUUUCCACGACCACUCCUUCAGAUGUCUGCAAAUCCCCAUUGUCUGACACUGACCUGUAAUGUGAUCAGCAAGGGACCUUUGAGAGCCGAGGUUCCGCUUAAAAUGGAAAGCACAGUGGAAACAUCAUGAAGGACUGGUUGUUUGAAUUGGGUCACUUACUGUGGAACUCCGGCACCAGCCACAUGCUCUCGGUAGUACUCAGCCACCAUGCAGUCAAGUGACCUCUGGUUGUGUCAUCUUCAUACUGUGUUACCCCCGGAGGUGAGAGGGACAGGAGGCCACCCCCCCAACCCCCAGGCCAGCCCUUGGAAGGCAUGUGUCAGAAAGGGGUCCCUAAAUCCUUGUUUUACCUGGACCCUUGGAGGUUCUUGAGAAGUGGACUCUGAAAUAAAUAACUGGUAGAAAUUCUACAGUGUGGAAUUUCUUGCAGUUAGCAAAAGCUUAGGGGUCCAGGUUUUUGCAGGAUUCCUGUCUUGGUCCUUUCAAACCAAGGAGGUCUGCUGGCUCUGCCAGGCCGCCUCACACGCCCAGUGGGAUUCUGACCCGGCCUCCUUGGUGCGGCAGCGUCUCCCGUUAACGGAAGAAGACGCUUAGCCCCUCUGACAGGGCCAUGGUUGUUUUUUCAAUUAAAAUGUCCUGGAGGGAGCAUCGCGCUCAUUAUCUCCUGCCCCUGCCCUCUACCCCAGCCAGAGGUCUCGAUCGCAGAACUUUUUUAAAAACAGUAGCAUGUGUAGUUAUUUUUGUAUACAUGUGGCUUAGAUUGGGUUGCAGACUUCAUUAAUUCCAUUUGAACCCAACUAAAACAGGAGACACAAUCCUUGUUCUGACAUCGAAUGCAGCUUGUGGUUUAAAAUGAGCCUGCCGGCUGCAUGGGUGCACGACAGUACAAGCAGGGCUUCAAGGAGUCUGCGCCCAGUGUUUUAAGCGACUACCACACUGACAAUUUGGGGAAAGCGUGGUCUUGAUAUAUGGGGCAGAAAGAGCUCUGUACAGUGCACACACCUGCUGCUGUCCCUGGGCAGCCCCUGGGUCCCCCCAGCCAUGACUGUUCUGCGCGAGCUCCUGAGCUGGGCGACCUCAGUGUGGGUCUCGCCUUCCAAGCCAGACAGUCGUUGGAGUCCAGCUUGCCCGGCGCCGGCCUUCACUGGUUGGCUGGAGCGGCACUUGGCAUCGCCGCCGGCCCCUCAUGGGGGUUUUCCGUUUGUGGAGUGUUUGGUACCGCGUGGUAGUUAACCCUCCAUGCCAGGCGACUGCAUUGCUGCAUUCGGGUAGGAAAGGGUGAAAGAAUUUUUUUUUGUUUUUUUUUUUUAAAGUACAAGGACCGCUCUGCUUUGUAAGCAGGAACCGCAGUCCCCUGAGGAGGGUGUGUGAAGACUCGCUCAUUUGAGUUCUUUGAAAUGGGUCCCUUGGUCCUGCUGUCACAUUGCCUUGAGCUAACGGAUCCUGUUCCCAUCAUAGGCCGGUCCUUGGGGCAUUGGGCAGGUGGGGGCUUUGUGCCUCUGCGGCUGCUGCUGUCUGUUCUCUAACAGGCAGAACUGAGGGAUUCUGAACUCAGGAUGUGCAGCUCUCCAGACUGAGACCCCAAGGCUGACUCCAGGUGGAAGUUAAACGAGCUGAGCCUCGGGACAGCAAGAGCCAAGCGCCGGGACAGCCAGGUGCCAGCCAGUGGGGGAGCCGGGUUGUGCCCAACGCUGCCAAUGGCUGGGCAGGCCAGCCCCCGCCCACGUGGCAGCAAGGAUAUGGCCCGCAAGGAAUGUGGGUGCCGGCAGGACAGGCGAUUGGUGGCUAUGGACCGCCCCCUGCAGGAAGAGGAGCCCCCCCGCCACCCCCACCGUUCACCUCCUACAUCGUGUCCACCCCUCCCGGAGGCUUUCCCCCUCCCCAGGGCUUCCCUCAGGGCUACGGUGCCCCGCCACAGUUCAGUUUUGGCUACGGGCCUCCACCUCCACCGCCAGAUCAGUUUGCCCCUCCGGGGGUUCCUCCUCCACCAGCCACUCCCGGGGCAGCACCUCUGGCUUUCCCACCGCCUCCGUCUCAGGCCGCCCCGGACAUGAGCAAGCCCCCGACAGCUCAGCCAGACUUCCCCUAUGGUCAGUAUGCAGGUUACGGGCAGGACUUGAGUGGCUUUGGACAGGGCUUCUCGGACCCCAGCCAGCAGCCUCCUUCCUAUGGGGGUCCCUCCGUGCCAGGGUCGGGGGGCCCCCCCGCCGGUGGCAGCGGCUUUGGACGAGGGCAGAACCACAACGUGCAAGGGUUCCACCCCUACCGACGCUAGCCCGCGGCGCCGCGACGUCUGCAUGGCCCAGACCCAGGAUUCCAAACUUGUGAACUCGUGACAAUCACAAACGUGGCGGCAAAGUAGCGACUCAACCUUGGGGGGGGCGGGGGGAGGGCGCGAGGCUUUUGGAGCGGCUGUGGGUGUCGUCUGGACUGAGGUUUUUAAAUAUUUCUUUCUCUAACCCAUCAGCACAAUAAAAAAAAAGUCACUGGUUCAACAACAGGGUUUAAAAAAAAUGUCUUCAGCUUUAAUUCAAAACUUCAGGUUUCUUUUUCUUCCUUUUUUUGGAAAUUAUUUUCCUGAGCCUUUUGUUUUACAGUAUAUUGUAAACUUUUAUGUUAAAGAAAAAAUAUACAUUUACAAAUUGUGAGAUUUUUAAGAGAAAUUUUCUACGAUGUAUACUGGCUUAUUUUUUAAUUUAAAACAGGGUUUCCGUCGGCACUGGUGGAGGGGUGCGCUGUUAGUCCCCUCGCUCCUGGCUUUGGGGGUUGGGACUUGGUGGUCCAGAAACUCUGGGAGCUUCAAGAAGAAAUCUACUGAGUGUAUUUCUGUUUUUUGUUUAAUUCCUUGCUUUUGUCGACCUGCUUGGUAGCGUCUGAGGUGAACUGUGGGGGUUGCGCACAGCCAGCCGCGUGGAUCCCACGUGGCGCUGAACCGAACGAGUAGGAAGCCUUUCUCCCCAGGCACGUGGCUUCAGGGCGUUUCCCAUUGACCAGUUUGACCCUGGUUUGAAUAAAGAGAAGUGCGUUUGCAUUAGAAA